UACGUAGGUCCCGAGCGUUGUCCGGAUUUAUUGGGCGUAAAGCGAGCGCAGGUGGUUUAUUAAGUCUGGUGUAAAAGGCAGUGGCUCAACCAUUGUAUGCAUUGGAAACUGGUAAACUUAAGUGCAGGAGAGGAGAGUGGAAUUCCAUGUGUAGCGGUGAAAUGCGUAGAUAUAUGGAGGAACACCGGUGGCGAAAGCGGCUCUCUGGCCUGUAACUGACACUGAGGCUCGAAAGCGUGGGGAGCAAACAGG
rnacentral:rRNA from 1 species